rnacentral:rRNA from 1 species
GUGGAUUAGAUACCCGAGUAGUCCACGCCCUAAACGAUGCGAACUGGAUGUUGGGCUCAACUUGGAGCUCAGUAUCGAAGCUAACGCGUUAAGUUCGCCGCCUGGGGAGUACGGUCGCAAGACUGAAACUCAAAGGAAUUGACGGGGGCCCGCACAAGCGGUGGAGUAUGUGGUUUAAUUCGAUGCAACGCGAAGAACCUUACCUGGCCUUGACAUGCACGGAACUUUCCAGAGAUGGAUUGGUGCCUUCGGGAACCGUGACACAGGUGCUGCACGGCCGUCGCCAACU